GGGGGUGAAAGGUUUCGACUUAGGCAAAGUAGUAUUGGUGGCAUGUCGGGGUGGCAAGGCAGGCCUCGUUAAAAAGCCUUGCAAAACACAAAUGCUGAAAAACCAGCAGAGACAUUGACAUUUAACAAGCUGAUGGCUUCUAUUGAAGUCGUUAGGCCUGUGAUGUCAAUGGUUCCACAAGCGUUACCCUUCAUACGGUAACCCGUCUGCCCUCCCUGCCUGUGGGGUGGGGCCAGGCGUCGUAAGCAGGAUAGCUUUAGCGUUCUGCCUUUGGCGCUAGAGCAAAACCGUAAAAGGCUGGCCCUUGAUUGAUUCCGUUUACCGAAGUAAUUUUGGGCAAGAUUAAAAGGUAAAACUAAACAUGUAGAGGCUAAUAUUGCGAUGCUUAGGGACCGCGGUUCGAUUCCGCGCACCUCCACCA
rnacentral:tmRNA from 1 species